AUGAUAAGGGAGAAGAAAGAAACAAAAUCGCAGAAGGAAGGCUCGAGAAGUUACCUGGAAGAAAACAUAUCUGGUUUUCCGCUCCUAAUCGCUGUCGUCGAAGAUGCGUCGAACGAACUCCGACCGGUGAGUUUCAAUUUCCAUUUUGAUUACAACAUUUCGCAUAACAUCUUGCUUGAACAUAUGCAAUCUGUGGAUGGAUUCGGAAAGCUUUGA